GAUAAACGCUGGCGGUGUGCUUUAUGCAUGCAAGUCGAACGGUCCUUCCCGCAAGGGAAGGAUAGUGGCAGACGGGUGAGUAACACGUAAGUAACCUGCCCUUAAGUGGGGAAUAACUCUGAGAAAUCGGAGCUAAUACCGCAUGUGGUCCUUGCCAUAAGGGGGAAGGACUAAAGCCUUCGGGCGCUUGAGGAGGGGCUUGCGGCCGAUUAGCUAGUUGGUGAGGUAACGGCCUACCAAGGCUUCGAUCGGUAGCUGGUUUGAGAGGACGACCAGCCACACUGGAACUGAGACACGGUCCAGACUCCUACGGGAGGCAGCAGCAAGGAAUAUUGGGCAAUGGGCGAAAGCCUGACCCAGCGACACCGCGUGGGGGAAGAAUGCCUUCGGGUUGUAAACCCCUUUUCCCGGGGAAGAAUAAUGACGGUACCCGGGGAAUAAGCCUCGGCUAACUACGUGCCAGCAGCCGCGGUAAUACGUAGGAGGCGAGCGUUAUCCGGAUUUACUGGGCGUAAAGAGGGCGUAGGUGGCUUUUCAAGUCGGAUGUGAAAUCUCCCGGCUUAACUGGGAGGGUGCAUUCAAUACUGAUGGGCUAGAGUGCAGCAGAGGGAAGCGGAAUUCCCGGUGUAGUGGUGAAAUGCGUAGAUAUCGGGAAGAACACUAGUGGCGAAGGCGGCUUCCUGGGCUGUUACUGACACUGAGGCCCGAAGGCGUGGGUAGCGGACAGGAUUAGAUACCCUGGUAGUCCACGCAGUAGACGAUGGAUACUAGGUAUUGGGGGUACCGACCCCCUCUGUGCCGAAGCUAACGCUUUAAGUAUCCCGCCUGGGGAGUACGGUCGCAAGACUA
rnacentral:rRNA from 1 species